UGAGGAUAAUACUUGAUAAAAAAUAUUCUCUGGAAUGAAAUAUUUUUGAAACUCGUGCCUAAGGAUGGGGCUGCGGCUGAUUAGCUAGUUGUUGGUGUAAUAGACUAACAAGGCAAUGAUCAGUAAGGGCUCUUAGCGGAGAGGCCCUGAGAAGGAAUCUGAGACACUAUUCCUAGCUCUACGGGGUGCAGCAGUUAAGGAAAUUCUUCAAUGCCCGCAAGGGUGAAAGAAUGAACCAGAGUGUUUUCUUUAAGAAAACUUUUAUCUGCUGUAAAAAGGCAGAUGAAUAAGGACUGGGCAAGACCGGUGCCAGCCGCCGCGGUAAUCCCGGCGGUCCAAGUCGCAUCCACAAUUAUUGGGUCUAAAACAUUCGUAGCUUGUUUUGUAAGUCUCUUGUGAAAUUUCAUAUCUCAAGUAUGAAGCGUGCAAGAGAUACUGCAUUGCUAGAGACCGGAAGACGCAAAGAGUAUGUUUGAGGUAGUGGUAAAAUAUGUUAAUCUUGAACAGACUAACAAUGGCGAAGGCACUUUGCGAGUACGGAUCUGACAGUGAGGAAUGAAGGCUAGGGGCGCAAAAGGGAUUAGAUACCCCUGUAGUCCUAGCAGUAAACACUGCUCACUAAA
rnacentral:rRNA from 1 species